rnacentral:tRNA from 1 species
GGAUGUAGCUCAAUGGCAGAGCACUGCACUGUGGAUGCAGAUGUUGCGGGUUCGACCCCCGUCAUCCGCCCCA